rnacentral:rRNA from 1 species
GCGACCUCAAUUGAGGCAAGAUUACUCGCUGAACUUAAGCAUAUCAGUAAGCGAAGGAAAAGAAACUAACGAGGAUUCCUUAGUAAACGGCGAGUGAAA